CAUGGCUCAGGACGAACGCUGGCGGCGUGCCUAAUACAUGCAAGUAGAACGCACAGUUUAUAUCGUAGCUUGCUACACCAUAGACUGUGAGUUGCGAACGGGUGAGUAACGCGUAGGUAACCUGCCUGGUAGCGGGGGAUAACUAUUGGAAACGAUAGCUAAUACCGCAUAAUAUUAAUUAUUGCAUGAUAAUUAAUUGAAAGGUGCAAUUGCACCACUACCAGAUGGACCUGCGUUGUAUUAGCUAGUAGGUGAGGUAACGGCUCACCUAGGCGACGAUACAUAGCCGACCUGAGAGGGUGAUCGGCCACACUGGGACUGAGACACGGCCCAGACUCCUACGG
rnacentral:rRNA from 1 species